rnacentral:rRNA from 1 species
GGGGAAUCUUCCGCAAUGGACGAAAGUCUGACGGAGCAACGCCGCGUGAACGAAGAAGGUCUUCGGAUUGUAAAGUUCUGUGAUUCGGGACGAAAGGGUUUGUGGUGAAUAAUCAUAGACAUUGACGGUACCGAAAAAGCAAGCCACGGCUAACUACGUGCCAGCAGCCGCGGUAAUACGUAGGUGGCAAGCGUUGUCCGGAAUUAUUGGGCGUAAAGCGCGCGCAGGCGGCUUCUUAAGUCCAUCUUAAAAGCGUGGGGCUCAACCCCAUGAGGGGAUGGAAACUGGGAAGCUGGAGUAUCGGAGAGGAAAGUGGAAUUCCUAGUGUAGCGGUGAAAUGCGUAGAGAUUAGGAAGAACACCGGUGGCGAAGGCGACUUUCUAGACGAAAACUGACGCUGAGGCGCGAAAGCGUGGGGAGCAAACAGGAUUAGAUACCCUGGUAGUCCACGCCGUAAACGAUGGAUACUAGGUGUAGGAGGUAUCGACCCCUCCUGUGCCGGAGUUAACGCAAUAAGUAUCCCGCCUGGGAAGUACGAUCGCAAGAUUA